AUUGAACGCUGGCGGCAGGCCUAACACAUGCAAGUCGAGCGGAGCGGCGGACGGGUGAGUAAUGCCUAGGAAUCUGCCUGGUCGUGGGGGAUAACGUCCGGAAACGGGCGCUAAUACCGCAUCCUAUCAGAUGAGCCUAGGUCGGAUUAGAUAGUGGGUGGGGUAAAGGCCUACCAAGGCCACGAUCCGUAACUGGUCUGAGAGGAUGAUCAGUCACACUGGAACUGAGACACGGUCCAGACGCCGACGUGAGGCAGCAGUGGGGAAUAUUGGGCAAUGGGCGAAAGCCUUAUCCAGCCAUGCCGCGUGUGUGAAGAAGGUCUUCGGAUUGUAAAGCACUUUAAGUUGGGAGGCGUUACCAACAGAAUAAGCACAGGCUAACUUCGUGCCAGCCGCCGCGGUAAUUC
rnacentral:rRNA from 1 species